rnacentral:lncRNA from 1 species
AAGUUCCGGAAGUCAGUCAGGCCUCGAAAGUCAAGUUCCGGAAACUGGCCUUGCAAUCAUUAGGUGGAGAUAUUGUUUGUUCUGUGCUCAGAUUUGUCAUCCUCCUUAAAUUCAAAGGAGAUAGAAGCUGCAAUACUUGUCAGAGUUUAGGGGUGAUUGGAAAGGAAUUUUAAGAAUCCGUUAUUAUGUUUCAGACAGCAGCAGCCUCCCUCAUGAUGCGGAAGGCAACGUGGGAGGGAAACCCUCCGGGGCCUGAUUCAGCUUGGCAAGCGUGAGAGGACACCCGAUGAACUUCUCGGAGGUAUCCAGAAAAGACCAGACCCAAACCCAGACAGAAUCUUCUUUUCAUGUUGGUGGAUGGCGGUGGGGAGGAGUAGGCACAUGCGUCCAGUCCUAGGCAUUCCAGAGAUUAAAAACACAGGAGCAGAGGAGGAAAACUGGAGAGGUUUUAAACAUCAGAAAAUGUCCGCAUGGGCUAUUACAGAGUCUUUGGUGGAGGUGGAGAGAGUCCCUGCGCAACCCCUUCCCUGCUGCCAGCCAGCCUCAUCGUAAAGGGACUUGAGAGCAGCCAAGGGGAGGAGUAUUUACAGGUCUGGCAUUGGCCAAGAGGCGGAGGCGAGCAGGAUGAGCAGGAUGCAGCUUUCUUUCUGGGCCUUGCAUUUCACAGUGAGGAUUUUAACACUAAUCCUGGUAAAGCCUGCAUAUCAGCGGAGAGUCAGAGUAAAACAAUCUAAAAUGUGGCCCUUCCCAUUGAGUAACCUGUGACCUUAUAGCAAUUGAACUAUUGGCUGCAUUACUGUAAGUUAAUAACCUAUUUUACAGAAUGGAGCCUACAGACUCUGUUUUAAAUGGCUGUGCUUUUUUUUUUUUUUUUUAAACAACAUUCCUGCAGAAUUCCCUGGAGUGAGACUCAGGACAAUAUUAAAUCCAAUGAAUCACGCAGCCUUCAGGAGGGCAGGGCAGCAUACGGCAGAGCAGCACUGAAUGAUGGCUUGGCUUGGUGUCCCUGGUGGCAGCAGUGGCCACACAGGCACCAUGUUCUCAUUCAACAAAGACUCAGUUUUGACAUGAGGACUGUGAACAUCUCCAGAACAGAAGACAUUUGGAAGAGCUCAUGUCCAUUGGUAUCUGAAACUUGGCUGCUCAUGUGGGUGAGUGCUUUUUUUUUCUUUUCUUCUUUGAGUGAGGGCCGGAUAUGUUGAAAACACAAAAACCUACAGUGGGAGAAAGAAGGAGGUUUUUACCUGUGGAAGGAAAAAUAAAAUGAAUAUGCCUUCAAGUUUGACUAGAAGCCUCUGAAAGUGUUUUCAGCCAAUUUUACAACUAUCUGUUGAUACACAGAGACCUUAACUAAGCACAAGUGUAAUCACUCUAGAAAUAAACUCAAAGAACGGCUGAGUUUUCUUGGCUUUCUUCCCAAGAGAGUUAUUGACUGAAAGACCAGGAGGGAUUCAUUAUGAGAUGGUUUACCUAUUAGAAGGUCUCAUGUCACUGGCUCUCAGAGGCGAUAAGAGAUUUGCAGGCUCUCGCUGAUGAAGUGCUCAUCCUGUCUCAAGGAGCGGCCUCAGAUAGAAGGAGGUCGCUGCAGAAUACAUGGUUCACUCUGUCCAUCUGUGUAGCCCCUGCUCUAUCACGGAUGGAUAUUAAUUUCCUCUGGCCUAAUUUCCUUUUUACAAAGUAAUUUGAUAGCAAUCCCACAUUUGCUCUCUCCUAGGUGGCUGUAAAUUGAUUGCUUGAUGAAUGUUCUAGUAUUUUUUUUAACUGCUAAGGUUAUCAUUUACCCACUUUCAAAAUAUGCUGUUUGCCCUUUUCCAGUCUCCAGAAAUACCUUGUAUCCUGCUGUGAUCCUCAGCAACACCAAUUACAUGGAAAAGAACCAACAAUGUGAAGAAACAUGAAUAUGGUGUUCAUUUUCAAACUGAAAAAGGAAAUAAUUGCAGUUACUAUUUACAGUAUCUGGCUUUUCAGGCUUCAUGCUACACGCAGCUAACUCUUUGUCAAACAAUUAAUUUUGUUUAAAAUAAAUAAGUUUAUAUAUUUAAGGUCAUGUUUCAGAAGUCAAACCAUAACCAUGGUUUUUAUUGAGUCAUAAAAUGAGUUGGGGAAAAGGCAAUGCAUCUAAAACAACUCUUGAGAUCCUCCACGAAGAAUUUUAAGUAUCAGUGUAAAUUAAAAGCAGAUUCACAGAGUGUUCUAUGAAACAGAGCUCCCUAUUAACUUGAGGGUGCCAGAUUGGAUCAUUCCUCAGAUUUCUCAUGGCUUUUAAAUGCAAUAAGUACAAGCCAGGUGGAUUAUCAAAGGGAUCUGUGGCCAGUAUGGCAUUAGUGUUCCAGUGUGAUUUAAGCACAUACAUCACGACUGAUUUUUUUUUAGUGGUUAAAACAUACAAGUGACAAUGUGCCAACAAACUUUUCUCAAACCAUACCAUAUAUUGUUGGUUUAGCAGAGGUUCCAAUUCAUAGCAAUAAGUUUUGUGCCUUUUAUUCUGAAUUUCACAGUCUUUUAAAAAACUUUUUUAUUUUUUAAAUGUCUCUGUAAUUUUUGUUUGUUUAAUGCUUCUUAAAAUUAUUUACUUAUUAUUAUUAUAAUACUUUAAGUUCUGGGGUACAUGUACACACGUAGAACUACUAACAAACUUUCACAGUCUUUUAAGAAAGCGCCUUGACUGAUAACUGGCUGAAAGACCAUAAAUGAAAUCAAUGAAAACUAAUAUCAAUGAAAAUAAACCUAGUCAAGGCGAUGGCCGCUGGAAUAACAGGAUCCCGAAGUUAAGAUUUAUUUAGCAUGCUGCUUCUUUCUCAGAAAUCAAAAGAGUAAACACACAUCAAGUUAAGUACGUGAUCCCUAAACCAACUAUAUCUGACAAUUCUUGGCUAAAAACUUGUAGAUACACUUUCAAGAAGUGGAAAAAUGGAAGAAAAUGAUAUCCCUAAACUAACAAAUGAGAAAAUAGUUAACAUGAGGCCUUAUCCUUUUGGUGGCCAGUGGUUGUCCCUGGUUGCAGACUGUGUGCACAGGGAAGGACAGGGCCUCUUUCAUGUUAUGAGGGGGCACUGAGCCACCGUGGGAAGGAAGGAACUCAGAUUAUCUCCUGUUAACUAGAUGAAGGAAAAAUUGUUUUAAUUAGGGACGUCUCCCAGCUCCCUUCCUGAACCCUAGCAUUUAUCUACUGGUAAAAUAGGGCUAGGCACCAUUGAAGAAUGUGGGAUGGAGCUCCCCAUAAGUUGAAAGUAGUCAGGCUUAGGGACUGAUGAUGGGAGGAACUGGACUGGCCUCGAUGCUGGAGUAUUGCAUGGAGAGAGAGCAGGUACUUAGCCACCCUUCUGUUUCAAAGCUGGAGCUACUUGGGUUGUAUCACAUUUGCAUUCUAAUAGUCUACCAGCUAAUAGGCCUCCAGCCUUGAGGAAGUCAAGGAGGAAAAGGAGAAAGAUGGGAUUUCUUAAUGCUGAUGAAGUCUUUAUUCCAGUUACAGAGAGAUGGAACUGGUGGAUUUAAUUCUUGUUGAAAUAUGUGUCGUUGCAUCUUACCUACGAAAUCAGGAUCUCCAUCUCUUUUUGUAAAUUCAAAAUGGUCUCCAACAUACAACGAUCAUAAACUAUACUUAGAUCUGUACUGCUUGAUUAAAUUGUGCUUUACUGCCACAAAAGGGCCAUCAGAAGGCAUUUGCAUGGGUGGGAACCUGGGAGCUUCCUCACUGGGCUGAAAGGUAAGUGACUAGAGUCACUGGAGUGUUGGGUCUCAAUUCCUUCUUUCUCUACUCCUCCACUUGUCCUAUGUUUGAAGCCGAGGAUAAGAACAGCAAUGCUGUUACCCAGGCACUAGUGUAAAUAAAACCAAGCUAGAAAUGACGGAGCAGGAGGAAAUACUUGUGAUAUUCCACAAAUACCACCACUGCUAGUAGUGAGAGAAAAGUACUUCGACAGGAAAACAAGAAGCCAGUGAGCCAUUCUUAAGGGGAAUCCUAAGAGCACGGACGCCAUUCUUCUCCCACUUAGGAUGUCUUGCUGUAUGAGUGCAUGGAGGCACCUGGACUUCUCUAGAGCCAGAAUUCGGAGAAUCUUUUGCUUUAUUUGAGUUGACCAUGAGGCAGUUUUCCUGUAAAUGUGACUGACUUAAGUAAAUCAAAUACAAAACAAAAAUCAGCUUUAGGUCCCAUGAGGAACUUCCAGAAAUACCCAAAGUCUAGUUAGUCACUGAAGAACAAGUAUAAUUCCUAAUGGCAAUGCUUCCUACAGCAUUCUGUGUAAAUCUGGAACCCCAAGAUAUUAACAGGUUAUUUUUAAGAAAGGGGUUUUUGUUAAUUUGGGAAACACUGGAUAAAAUGAAGUGACAGUAUUUGAGAGCACUGAAAUGAAAUCUUUCCCUGCUAUGAUUCUGAGCUGCAGGUUCUCCUCUGGCUCCCACCAUGAGAUAGCUGGCAGGACCUCUGCAGUGGCCACAGGUCAGGAGUGGAGGAGCUGAGGAGGUGGCAUGUAUAAGGUCUCCAUGAUCAGGGAGGGUCAGAAGAAAUCAAAGGUCUCAUCCUGGUGUUUCUCCCACGUGGAGCUCUGUGGGGGCAGGGUGGGGGACAUGACAGGAAUAGCAAAAUGGGUGUAAGGUGCCCAAGAACUUUGGGGCUAGCUGCUCAACUUCCAUGUGUAGCUUGCGGAAGGCUGCAGGCUUAUAGGAGAAACCUGUGUUCCGCUCAGCUCUGUGUCCAGAGGGAAGAAAAAUUAUGAGACAAAUGGGACUGUUUCACAUUUUGGCAAACAUCUUGAAUGCCCGGCUUGACUGAAGGCAACUGGGUUUUCUUAUCUGCUUCUGCACUGAGUCUUUUGAAAUACCUAACCUCAUGCAGGCUCUGGAAAACCCUGCUGCACAUAAUGCUAAUGUCUUAGUAUUAUCAUGCAGGUAAUUUUGAGAUUCUGGAUCCCUGAAAACGCCUCAGGGACUCCCGGACUUCACUUUGAGAAUCAAUAUGACAGUGACUGGGGUUGAAACAAAGAGACAACAGGGCCUUCACAACUGGACAGCCAGGGUCUGGACUCCUUGGGGGACCAGCUUGAGUCUCAAUAGUCUAGCCAAAGCCACAGAAGUCAGCAUAACAACUGUGCAAGACAGGCCAGUGAGUGUCCAUUGGACACUGUGGGAGGCCAAGAGCCCUUCCUCCUGAGCCAGGGGGCACCAUGGAGAGGGAUGUGGGGAAGCAGGGAGGCAGGAAUUUGACUCAAUGGGCACCUCAAAGACUGUGUCAUCCAAGUCACUGAACAUCUUUGGCAGGGCUAUGCAUCGACUGAACAUUUAAACCCCAAUUUCUUUUUAAUCAGAAGAAACUGAGCUGGUUCACUUUAAGAAACAGACUGGCAGUCCCUCAAAAUAUUGAAUAGCGUUAUCAUACAACGAGCAGUUCUGCUCCUAGAGAUAUACCCAAGAGAAGUAAAAACGUUUGUCCACACAAAAACGUGUACACAAAUGUUCAGAGCAACGUUACUCAUAAGAGUCAAAAGGUGGGAAUGCUCCAAACGCACAUCAAGUGAUGAAUGGAUAAACGGAGGUUGGUAAAUCCAUGGAGUUGAAUAUUAGCCACAAAAAGGAAUGAGGCAAACACAUGCUGCAAGGAAGAUGAACAGGAAACACUACACUUAGUGAGAGCGUCACAAAGACCACAUGUUGUAUGACGGAAUUAUCUGAAAUGUCCAGAAUAGGUAAAGCUGUAGAAACACGAUGGUAUUUAUCAGGGUCUGGAGGGCUGGGGAGGAAGGAGGGACUGCCGAUGGCCAUGAAGUCUCUCUAUGGGGUGAUAAAACUAUUCGAAAAUUAGUUAUGGCAAUGGUUGCACGACUCUGUGAAUAUAUUAAAAACCACUGAAUCGGACACUUACGGCUACAUUUUGUAGUAUGUAAAUUAUAUCUGUAUCUUCUAUUAAAAACAUUUUGUCCUUACUUUAUCAAAAUAGGACUUGAGAAUUCAAUAAAAGACUUGAGUUCUCACUAAUUAAGUUUAAUACAUUUUACUGUGAGAUCAGAUCAGUUUUGAAAAUUAAAAUGCUGUAUUAAAAAUAAUGCUACCUUUUUCUUGCAAAUUCCACCCCCGAAAAAAAAUUAAUCAAUAUUUAUUCCUAUAGGACUUCUCAGAGGUUUUACGCAUAUGUCAUUAUGUCCGGUGAG